rnacentral:rRNA from 1 species
GAUGAACGCUGGCGGCGUGCCUAACACAUGCAAGUCGAACGGAGCUAUUUAGGAAACUUCCUUCGGGGAGCGGAAUCUAUAGCUUAGUGGCGGACGGGUGAGUAACGCGUGAGCAAUCUGCCUUUGGAUGGGGGAUAACAGCCGGAAACGACUGCUAAUACCGCAUAAUGCAUUUGAACCGCAUGAUUUGAAUGCCAAAGAUUUAUCGUCCGAAGAUGAGCUCGCGUCUGAUUAGCUGGUUGGCGGGGUAACGGCCCACCAAGGCGACGAUCAGUAGCCGGACUGAGAGGUUGAACGGCCACAUUGGGACUGAGACACGGCCCAG